rnacentral:rRNA from 1 species
AAAUUGAAGAGUUUGAUCAUGGCUCAGAUUGAACGCUGGCGGCAGGCCUAACACAUGCAAGUCGAACGGUAACAGGAAACAGCUUGCUGUUUCGCUGACGAGUGGCGGACGGGUGAGUAAUGUCUGGGAAACUGCCUGAUGGAGGGGGAUAACUACUGGAAACGGUAGCUAAUACCGCAUAAUGUCGCAAGACUAAAGAGGGGGACCUUCGGGCCUCUUGCCAUCGGAUGUGCCCAGAUGGGAUUAGCUAGUAGGUGGGGUAACGGCUCACCUAGGCGACGAUCCCUAGCUGGUCUGAGAGGAUGACCAGCCACACUGGAACUGAGACACGGUCCAGACUCCUACGGGAGGCAGCAGUGGGGAAUAUUGCACAAUGGGCGCAAGCCUGAUGCAGCCAUACCGCGUGUAUGAAGAAGGCCUUCGGGUUGUAAAGUACUUUCAGCGGGGAGGAAGGGAGUAAAGUUAAUACCUUUACUCAUUGACGUUACCC